rnacentral:rRNA from 1 species
UACGUAGGGUGCAAGCGUUGUCCGGAAUUAUUGGGCGUAAAGAGCUCGUAGGCGGUCUGUCGCGUCGGAUGUGAAAACCCAGGGCUCAACCCUGGGCCUGCAUUCGAUACGGGCAGACUAGAGUUCGGUAGGGGAGACUGGAAUUCCUGGUGUAGCGGUGAAAUGCGCAGAUAUCAGGAGGAACACCGGUGGCGAAGGCGGUUCUCUGGGAAUGACCUGACGCUGAGGAGCGAAAGUGUGGGGAGCGAACAGG